rnacentral:tRNA from 1 species
GUGGGUGUAGCUCAGUAGGUAGAGCACCUGGUUGUGGUCCAGGAAGUCGCGGGUUCGAAUCCCGUCACUCACCCCA